rnacentral:rRNA from 1 species
UGGGGAAUAUUGGACAAUGGGCGCAAGCCUGAUCCAGCCAUGCCGCGUGAGUGAUGAAGGCCCUAGGGUUGUAAAGCUCUUUCACCGGUGAAGAUAAUGACGGUAACCGGAGAAGAAGCCCCGGCUAACUUCGUGCCAGCAGCCGCGGUAAUACGAAGGGGGCUAGCGUUGUUCGGAUUUACUGAGCGUAAAGCGCACGUAGGCGGACUUUUAAGUCAGGGGUGAAAUCCCGGGGCUCAACCCCGGAACUGCCUUUGAUACUGGAAGUCUUGAGUAUGGUAGAGGUGAGUGGAAUUCCGAGUGUAGAGGUGAAAUUCGUAGAUAUUCGGAGGAACACCAGUGGCGAAGGCGGCUCACUGGACCAUUACUGACGCUGAGGUGCGAAAGCGUGGGGAGCAAACAGG